rnacentral:lncRNA from 1 species
AGUUAUCCCUCUUUGGAAAGGACAGUUGAACAUACCUAAAAAUUGAAAAUGAGUUAGUUACAACAGCAUGAUGCAUGUAUUAAGGUUGAUUGGCAAGGAAAUGAAGAGGCCUGCUCUACAUAGUUAAUUCUAAACACACACACACACUAAGUCAUAGUACUAAGUACUAUGUCAGAGCCAAGAAAUUCUUACUUCCCACAUCCCUGAUUUUUCCUUUCCAACAUUAUCUCUGUCUUUCCCCUGGUCUUACAUCCUUUGAUGCUGCCAAUUCAUACAGCAGGUUACAAACUGUGCACACCUGGAGUGUCAUCAAGAGAAACUGAAGCUUUGCCUCAUUCUGCACAGUGGGACAGAUGCUUGAAGUUCUAGCCAUCUGGUCAGGUACAUUCCAUCUGCAGCGACCAUCCUGAAGGCUUUUUGUCUCCUUCCCAAACAGAUGGGUCCAUAGUUUUUGUAGCUCUUUCUGUGACCAGUUCUCCCUGGGCUCUGCCAGAUCUGUAAUACUUAAAAGAAAAUACCGCCAUAUAGCUCCGCCUUUUUUGAAUGGUAGCCACAAGGAGAGAUGUGUGUUCCAGCAAUCAAUAUCCUGGGGACAGGUGUGGUGGGUUCCUCAGCCCUGUCAAGGUCCUGAUUUCUGCAGAUUAUGCCACCAGCGUGAGAGAAGCUUUUGCUAUACGUAAGUUGUUUCAUCCUCACGAGUCUGUUUCUUUCAAGGGUCAUUCAUCCUUACUGUGUUUGGACUACUUCAUUUACCCUUUACUGGGGUAACAAAGUACUCUGAAAUUUUAGUGCCUUCAAACCACAACCAGUCGUAAUUGGCUCC